rnacentral:lncRNA from 1 species
GCCGAGACACCUUUUGCUGCUGGGCCGUGUGGCAAUUGGAAGCUGCUGUGAAGAUGCUUGGACGCGUGAUGCUUCAGCUGCACCACCUCUCAAGUUGCUGCCAUCACGUGAAGUUUGUUGAAUGCAACCUGCUGAAGCUCUCUAAAAAUUGUCGGCUGCUGCGUGCUUGGCCAGGUCGUGAAUGAGCGUGCUGCUUGAAGUGUUGGGCUGUGUAUGAAGAUGUUACGCCGUGUGUAGAGAUUUCA